UUCCAUGCCUUAGCUAUUGUAAAUAGUGCUGCUAUGUACAUUGGGGUGCAUGUAUCUUUUCGAAUUAACCUGGAUCACGGUUGCAUGAGUAUUUGCUUUGUAAUUAUUUACAACACAGACAUGUUUUAUAUACUCUUAUAUAGUAUGAAAUAUCUCACAAUCCAUUUUUUCAAUGGCAACAUUUUAAUUAAACCUAAUGAUUGGUGUUGUAAAAAAGCCCUGGUCAUCUAGGAAGUGGACACCAGCAUGUCUGGGAAGAAGCAGGAAACCAGGGGCUUUCACAAUAUGAAGGUCUUGAAAGAAAGGAUCUCUAAUUUCAUCUCCGAGCAGCCUCCCGCUGCCCUGCAAUAGUAUCUUGCCUAUCAACCAGCCCUUCCCGUGGGUUCUAGCAACUGCCAAUAUGCAUUGGAGUGAAUACAACUUGACUGUUCCGAGGGACAAAGGUGAGAUAAUUAGGGUGCAUUCACAUUGCAGCAAAGGAAGUUAGAUGAGAUUUGCUUUACCUGUUAGUUGUUUAAAUCAAUAGCACUGGCCACCAUUGUAAUAAAUCUGUCAAAUGUGUAUUGGCCUUACCACGUUUGUCAGUGCAAACCCCAGACCCUGAGGCCUCAUCUUCAUCUCCUUUUCCUGGCCCCUUAUCGGCAAGCUGAGUGAGUACAAGCAUCUGUUUGUAGGAAAUUUCAUUUGGAAUUCUCUUUAAAAACCAGAUCCCUAUAAAAACGGAACAAAGGGAGGUUUGAAGGGGAGGAGAGCUCAUGCAUAAUAAAUUAUCCUUCACUUUUGCUUUGUAAUUUCUUUUGGCCCUAAGCUCUAUUUUCACGUCUGCUUUAAAUGAUGCAGAGAUUUGUCUGCCGACGAGGGCUAUGGGGGCACUGGAGCGCGAGGCCCUUGAAAAAGCUGGACUCUCCCCUGUUCUUGGAGGAAGAGGCACUUUGGGAUGCUCCUACUAGAAAUGUGGAAGGAGGGCCUUCAGCGUACAGUUUGGGGAGGUAAAAUCCACGCAGCAGUGUCUUAAUUCAAGCAGUUUCUUCUAUUGAUAUAAAGGGUUUUACCAUUAUUUGAACAGGAUGGAUGUGUUUCUUUGAAAAGAGCACCAUGGAAGGGAAGGAAUAAAUACUGAGUAAGUAAAAUUUGAAUUCAUUCUAACGACGACUUUAUCAGCUCUUUCCCUCCAGACACUGGCCAUGCCCCGUGUUACUCUGUAGCCCCAGUGCCUGGUGUGGUGCCUGGAGCUGCUGGUGGGCACUCACUGAAUCACAGUGACUGAAUGAAUGAAUGAGGUGAACGUUGGGUCCAGCAUCCAGGCUUUGAUUAGUACUCUUCCCUGACCACACUUUCAGGAUCCCUGUAUCAAGAGACUUUCCCCCCAGCUUGUUAUUCUCUGAAUUUUGAAUGGAAAAGCAGUCACAGUUUUCUACUGCACCAAUCACUAAAGUCAUCAGUAACCUGAGGCUGAGCUUCUGGUAUUAAGAUCUUAAAGACUCAAGACUCUUUGUAUUUCAUUUCAUAUCUGAAAUGAAAAGUUAAGUUGUGCUAAUUCGUGUAGAAUAGCACAUCACAUAUCUUUUCCCGUAAAAUGAGGUUAUCAAACGAAAUGUAAACAUAACGGAGGAGCUUAGACGGCCUAUCAAGGUAAUUUAAAGAGAUAUCCUGUACUAUUAGGCUGCAAAGCCUUGGAUCCCUUCCUUGAUGGUUGUCAAAGCCAAUUCCUAUGUCCUGAGAAUAAAAGAAAAGAAGCAUCUGUCCAUAGAGGUCACUCAUCAUGUUUCCCAGCCAUAAAUUUCUGUGAUACAGAACCAUAAGAGUAGGAAUUUAAGCCAAUGUGUAGUUAGUGAGAAAUAGUUUUUCUUUUUGUUAGGCUGUAUAUGAAGCUGAGGGAUUCUGAAACUGGUCUGCCUGCACUGCAGGCACACAGGUCUGGAGGUCAAGCACAGAUGCCCUCCUUAGAAGCACAGAACAAGGGCCUGCUCAGGGUUGUCACUCUUCUCGGGUUGCCCGAGAAGCUCCCUGGCCCCUCAAACAUCAAAGUGCCCAGGAAUCAAUACCUGUGCUCCCCCUCCCAUCAGACCAGGAGCCAAGAGCAUCAAAAAGAGGCUUCUAGCCCCCAGAGGGGCAGGAACACACAGAGUGAACACGACCAUGAAAGUGCGUUCCAAGCUCGAGUGAAAGGCUCUGGAGUGUCGGCUGGGGGAAUUCAUGGUUUUCUAGGUAAGCAGACAUAGCGUCAAAUCCUGCUUCAUUUACACAUUUCCUCAGCAAAUAUUUGAAUGCGUCCUGUUGGCCAGGUUCUCUUCUAGGCAUCCACGGUAUAUCAGUAGACAGACAAAUUCCCCAUUUUCACACAGCUUGCAGACUCGCAGAGGGUGCAUGUAAACAGACAAUGCAACUAAAUUACCAUAUUUUGUUGAUUUGGGGAAGUACAGAGUUGCACAUGAGCUGCUCUGAAGUUGGGAGGCCUUCCUUCUACCAUCACGGGCAUCUUACAGUUACUGUUGGCCAGUAAGCUGCCUCUAAGCAUUUGUCCUCGCCCCGUGAAUGGGCAAACCUGACCACAGCUGUGUAAUAGGGGUGGAGCCGGAGCGCAGUUGCUCUCGCGAGACCCAGAGUGCGGCGGUCGGAGGUCCCGCCCCGCCAAAGGCCCGCCUGGCGGCCGUGGUCCUCGUGGCGGAGAGCACGGGGGAGAGGCGGGUCCGCAGCCUUCUCCCCGGGGCCCUCCAGGCCCUCUCGCCUCGGGCCAGCGGGUGAGCUGGGGCACCCGGGGACAGGCUGGGGGCUGUCCCGCAGAGCCCCAGAGCCCUCGCCACGGCCGCCCCCAGGCCUUGAAGCAGCAGCGAGCCUCUCCCCCAGCCCCACCUCUGCGACCUGAUGGCGGCGGCAGCGGUCUCCACGGGCCGCGGUCCACGGAGGCCUCAGCAGCUGGAGUAUAUGGACACUGCCAGUAAGGUAACAGCUUCAACCAGCUUCAGUCUCUCCAUUCACGUUUCAGAAAUUGGUCCAACUUAGAUCAGUUGUCUACCCCUAGGGGGUCGCCAGGCGUCAGGGUUAAGUUGCAAGGACGUUACACGUCAUGACCUCAGGUUCACCUCUGUGUUUGGGGCGCUUCUCAAAGAAGGACAAUUGUCGUGAGCUGGGGAUUAACCUGAUUGGUAUUUGCUACAACACGUAUUUCUAUGGCUCCUAUACAAACGAUUCUCUCCAGUUUAAAUGAAAAGCUUGAGGACCAGCCGGCUCCCCCCUCAGCGAUAAUGGCUGCGCAGGGUCUGGGGCCCUGGCCCUGAGGGUGCCGCCAGCUGAGAGCUGCCUCUUCAGCCGGCCUGGGCACUGGAGGGAAGACCUAGACAGGGUGCUGGACGAGCGCUCCGGGGCAGGGUCCCCGGCCCGACCUGAGACCCUCUCCUCUUAGCCAGGACCUGGACCUAGGAGGGGGAAAGUUGAGCCGUGGGACCUUGCCCUUUCUUGUGAGAACGGAGAAUAACAUUUGUUUUGGUGGAGGUUUACAGGAACAUCGUGACCUGACCGUGACCUGACCUCAAGAACAAAGGCUCUGAAACCAAGAAGUUAGCAACAACUCACCACACCCUUCCCUCACCUUUCCUAUAAAAGGGCUUUGCUGAAAGCUUUCGGGGAGUUGGGGGUUUUUAACGCAUGAGCCACUUGUCUCCUUGCAUGGCCCUGCAUUAAACCUUGCUCUGCUCCAAACUCUGACAGUUUGG